rnacentral:rRNA from 1 species
CCUGGCUCAGGAUGAACGCUAGCUACAGGCUUAACACAUGCAAGUCGAGGGACAGCAUGGUCUUAGCUUGCUAAGGCCGAUGGCGACCGGCGCACGGGUGAGUAACACGUAUCCAACCUGCCGUCUACUCUUGGACAGCCUUCUGAAAGGAAGAUUAAUACAAGAUGGCAUCAUGAGUCCGCAUGUUCACAUGAUUAAAGGUAUUCCGGUAGACGAUGGGGAUGCGUUCCAUUAGAUAGUAGGCGGGGUAACGGCCCACCUAGUCUUCGAUGGAUAGGGGUUCUGAGAGGAAGGUCCCCCACAUUGGAACUGAGACACGGUCCAAACUCCUACGGGAGGCAGCAGUGAGGAAUAUUGGUCAAUGGGCGAGAGCCUGAACCAGCCAAGUAGCGUGAAGGAUGACUGCCCUAUGGGUUGUAAACUUCUUUUAUAAAGGAAUAAAGUCGGGUAUGGAUACCCGUUUGCAUGUACUUUAUGAAUAAGGAUCGGCUAACUCCGUGCCAGCAGCCGCGGUAAUACGGAGGAUCCGAGCGUUAUCCGGAUUUAUUGGGUUUAAAGGGAGCGUAGAUGGAUGUUUAAGUCAGUUGUGAAAGUUUGCGGCUCAACCGUAAAAUUGCAGUUGAUACUGGAUAUCUUGAGUGCAGUUGAGGCAGGCGGAAUUCGUGGUGUAGCGGUGAAAUGCUUAGAUAUCACGAAGAACUCCGAUUGCGAAGGCAGCCUGCUAAGCUGCAACUGACAUUGAGGCUCGAAAGUGUGGGUAUCAAACAGGAUUAGAUACCCUGGUAGUCCACACGGUAAACGAUGAAUACUCGCUGUUUGCGAUAUACUGCAAGCGGCCAAGCGAAAGCGUUAAGUAUUCCACCUGGGGAGUACGCCGGCAACGGUGAAACUCAAAGGAAUUGACGGGGGCCCGCACAAGCGGAGGAACAUGUGGUUUAAUUCGAUGAUACGCGAGGAACCUUACCCGGGCUUAAAUUGCAGAUGAAUUACGGUGAAAGCCGUAAGCCGCAAGGCAUCUGUGAAGGUGCUGCAUGGUUGUCGUCAGCUCGUGCCGUGAGGUGUCGGCUUAAGUGCCAUAACGAGCGCAACCCUUGUUGUCAGUUACUAACAGGUUCCGCUGAGGACUCUGACAAGACUGCCAUCGUAAGAUGUGAGGAAGGUGGGGAUGACGUCAAAUCAGCACGGCCCUUACGUCCGGGGCUACACACGUGUUACAAUGGGGGGUACAGAGGGCCGCUACCACGCGAGUGGAUGCCAAUCCCCAAAACCUCUCUCAGUUCGGACUGGAGUCUGCAACCCGACUCCACGAAGCUGGAUUCGCUAGUAAUCGCGCAUCAGCCACGGCGCGGUGAAUACGUUCCCGGGCCUUGUACACACCGCCC